rnacentral:rRNA from 1 species
ACGCUAAAAGCUCGAAGGUGCGGGUAUCGAACAGGAUUAGAUACCCUGGUAGUCCCGCACGGUAAACGAUGGAUGCCCGCUGUUUGCGAUAUACUGUGAGCGGCCAAGAGAAGUCGUUAAGCAUCCCACCUGGGGAGUACGCCGGCAACGGUGAAACUCAAAGGAAUUGACGGGGGCCCGCACAAGCGGAGGAACAUGUGGUUUAAUUCGAUGAUACGCGAGGAACCUUACCCGGGCUUGAACUGCAGGAGAACGAUUCAGAGAUGAUGAGGUCCUUCGGGACUCCUGUGGAGGUGCUGCAUGGUUGUCGUCAGCUCGUGCCGUGAGGUGUCGGCUUAAGUGCCAUAACGAGCGCAACCCCUUUCGUUAGUUGCCAUCAGGUAAUGCUGGGCACUCUGGCGAUACUGCCACCGUAAGGUGUGAGGAAGGUGGGGAUGACGUCAAAUCAGCACGGCCCUUACGUCCGGGGCUACACACGUGUUACAAUGGGGGAUACAGAGGGCCGCCACCGGGUGACCGGGCGCCAAUCCAUUAAAAUCCCUCUCAGUUCGGACUGGAGUCUGCAACCCGACUCCACGAAGCUGGAUUCGCUAGUAAUCG